CUCUGGAUAACGGUUUCUAUCAAACUUCGUGUGAAGCAGAGAGUUUCCGAUGGUGGUUAUCCCAACGGUCACCGGAUUAUCAACCGGCGCACGCUUACUAUCGGUGCCGCGCACGAUAGCCACAGCUGCUAGAGCUUCGCCUUCUUCUCUUCCCUCGCUCUGUUACUUGAAGAAGAGCUAUUACUCUCCGCAACGCCGGAGUGUUCUGCCGGCAAGGAAGCUUGUGAUACGAGCUGCAAGAACAGAGUCCAAAGGCGUCUCUCUUGGUUUCAGAGCUCCCAAUUUUGAGCUUACGGAGCCGCUCACUGGUAAAGUUUGGAACCUUGAUGAUUUUGAAGCAUAUCCUGCAUUGCUGGUUAUGUUCAUCUGCAACCAUUGUCCAUUUGUCAUACAUUUGAAGAAGGAUAUUGUUAAACUCUCAAAUUUCUACAUGAAGAAAGGGCUUGCUGUGGUAGCAAUAUCUUCAAACUCUGUAGUUACACAUCCACAGGAUGGACCUGAAUUCAUGGCUGAAGAUGCUAAGUUCUUCAAAUAUCCUUUCCCUUAUCUUUAUGAUGAGAAUCUGUUUCGUAUCGAACUUCUUCAGCUUCGUUUUUCUUGUAGUCACAAGAAGUGGCAAGAGAUUUUGGGGCUGUGUGUACACCAGAAUUUUUCCUAUUCAAAAAGGAUGGCAGAAGGCCCUUUGAGCUAGUGUAUCAUGGACAAUUUGAUGAUUCAAGGCCAAGUAACAAUGUGCCUGUCACGGGAAGGGACUUAAGUCUAGCGAUAGAUUGUGUACUUAGUGGCCAGCCAGUUUCAUCAACUCAAAAACCCAGCAUUGGUUGCAGUAUAAAAUGGAAUCCAGGGGGGAAGCAGUAAGCAUCAUCUCUCAGCUGUCUAUGAGUUUUUUCCAGCCACACAUGUAAGUGCAUCAGAUUAUCCACGUAGCGGCUGAUGACUGUUGGAGUACUGGCACAUUUGCGUUAUUUUUGCUAUGCCUCUUCUAGCAUUGUGAAUUGAGCUUUGAUCUCAAAGCUAUAAUUAGAAGAACUAAGAUUCUUUGAUAUGCCAAUCACCACACUUCAUGUAUAUGUUACUUAUGUUGUAUUUCCUUGCAAAACCCAGGGUUUUACAUUGUAUGUGCUGUCCUUACUUAUGCAAGGGUUGAACUACUAAUUUUGUAAGAUUUAAUGCUGGAUCGUGGAAUAUGUUCCGAAAGGAGCCAAAAAUAAAAGAAAUUGUUGCCAAAUGGAGCAAUAUGCUACCACACACUUGUAGCCGAUUGCAAAAGUAUGAGCCAAUUACUAAUUUUGGUUCUCUUUGAUAUUGGAAAUUGACUUCUGUUCCUCCUAGAGAUUUGUAAAUACAUUGUAAUUUCAUUCCUUCACACUUAACACUUUCUUAGCUUGUAAUUCUCUAGUUUUUCUGGUAAUCAAAGUAGAUUCUUCUUUCUGCA